AUUCAUGGGACAAUCUAUCCCAUGGGAUUAGCCAGGUUUAUUACAUCUUUGACCCUAUCUCUUUCUUUUAGCUUUUCCCAUUUUGCUUUCACUGCAGGAGCUUCAUUUCACUGCAGGAGCAGGAGCUUCAUUUCAUCUUGAAUCUUCGAUCUGUUGAACCUUUGCAUCCGAUCUUCAUUCAGGCAUGGAUAAUGAGGUAUCCAGUUCUCGAAAGAAAAAGAAUGACAAGGUUGAUUCAUUAAAACAAAGGCGAGUAUGGAGCCUACGUGAAGAGGAUUGUCUAAUUUCAGCCUUGUUGUUCAUUGUGAAUUAUGGAAUGAAAGUUGACAAUUCUUUCAAGGCAGGCUAUCUUAUGAAAUUGGAGAAUAAAAUAGCAGAGUUGUUACCCGGGAUAGAUUUACGUGGCUCUCCCCAUAUUGAAUCAAAGAUUAAAAUAUGGAAGAAGCAAUACAAUUCCGUGUCUGGUAUGCUUGCUACUAGUGGGUUUGGAUGGAAUGAUACUGAAAAAAGAAUUGACGUAGAGAGUGAUAGUGUAUGGGAGGCAUAUGUUCGGAGGGACAAUGAUGCAAAACACCUGAGGAACAAAACUUUCCGACAUUUCGAUGAAUGAAUUCAAAUAUUUGGCAAAGAUCGAGCUACAGGAGAGUUUGCUGAAGACCCUGCUGAUGCAGUUGAGGCUAUGAAUGCUGAGGAAGAUGUGUUGUUGCAUGGUCUUGCAGAUAAUGACACUUUUCUGGAACAAAUGGGAUUAAAUAGUCAGACUGGUGAAGUAAUGGACUAUUCAAACUCAGCAACUCAACGGCCUUCUGAUAGUUCUACCAAAAAGAAAGACAAGAAAAGACCUAGAGCCAAUGAUGAAGUAGUUGAAGGGCUGACCAUGUUUGCUGACAAGUUGGUGGAUGUCUUGGGAACAACCAAUGAUAAACUAGAAUUCAUUGGAAAAAGAAUGGGGUAUUCACAUGAUCUUGCAUCUAAACGGGCAUCACUAAACGAUGAACUUACGAAGUUGCCAAUUACUGUACAUGAAAGGUUAGAUGCUUGUGAAAUUAUAUCCCAUGAUGUCCAAAAGCUUGACAUGUUCUUCAGCUUGACACAUGAUGAUAGGCUAAGGUUCAAUUUCUUGAAGAAAGAAAUGCUAAUGUUGUCAUCCGUGAUGAGCAUGACUUUAAUGUCAUCCGGGUUCGAGAGGAUUGGGUUAAAAAAUAUAUGGACCUCAAAAAGAUAAAUACAAUUAGAUUGCUUCAAUGGGGAUGUAACAAGUGGGAACAUAAAUUAGCCUUUAUGGAACGUAAAAGCCACUCCUCCAAUUUUUAUUAUUCCCUAAACCAGUCUUCAAGGUUAGAAGAAAAUAUGGAAACCUUCAAAAGAAACACUUGCCAGAGAACUAAUCCAGGAGCUAAACAAAACAUUCAAUUCUCAAGCACGUCUUCCUCUUCGAAUGUUGGUAGCACUUCACAGUUCUUCCAUACUUCUUAUUGGAUGUCUUCCAGCUCUGGCAGUGCUUCAUCUAUUCCUCCAAUUGGAAGUGAUGCACUGUGGCAAGAAGACAACUGGAGAUAUAUUGCUAGAAGCAUCUGUGCAGAGUGUGCUAGUUCCUAAUCCUAAGAUGGGUAUUAUAAGCCAAAAUGUAAUGGCUUCAAGUGCCUUUCCUGUAUACUACAGUUCUCAGAAUGGCUUUGCUGGUGCUAUCCGUCUACUACUCCUAGGUUUCCUCCAAUGAAUUUGGUCGAAGAAUAUGAAGAGGGGCUGUCAAAUUUUCUUCAGCCGGCCAUUCUAAGCCCUGUAGAUUCGAUGAUGAAAGUAGAAGGACAUAAUGCUGCUGUCCCUUCAAUUGUGCCUGCAUUGGAGCAAUUCAGUGCUAAGAGAGCUCUAUUGGCUACCUGGGAAAUCCUACAAGAGGUUGAUGGCAUGGCCUUGCAAUAUGAGGAAGAGUAUGUUGAUGGAGAGGAGCUCGGGAAGCUGGAUUGUGGGCAUGAAUUUCACUUCAACUGUAUCAAACAGUGGCUCAUGUAGAAGAAUUCCUGUCCCAUCUACAUAAGGACUGCACUGACUAUUUGAGAGAGAUCAUUGGUUUCAAGGCACUCGAAUCAAAUGUCAUAUGCUGAUUGGUUGAUCGUCUAAGCUUCUUUGUAUUUGUAUUUUGCUUUAAAACUUACACCGUGUGCUUUCCUCCUCCCUCCAUGAGACUGUUCAUUUUUGUU